GGUUACACUCACAUAGAACAAAAGAAUAAACAAUCCGAAAUAGCAACAAAGUGCGAAAGAUAAGAUAAUCGAGUGUAAAGCAAAACAAUACUAACUAACAAUGCCGUUACCAUCCGCAGUUUCCGCUCUCAAAUCUUUCUCAUCCACCAUUACCGCCCAAUCUUCCUUCCCUCCAAAACGCAGCAUUCCCCUCUCCCAUUCUCAUAUUCUCUCCCGCAGAAAUAUAUCCUUACUUUCUUUCUUCUCUAUCUCUGCACCUGCCUCCGCCAUUGACAUCGGCAUCUCAGGACCAAAGGAUUGGCUGAAAGAGCAAAAGAAAAAAUCCUCAAAGUUUCUUCUAGCUCCCGUUGAUGCUUCCCGCGAAACUCUUCGCUCUGUAUAUCUUUUUCUCACGGAAACUGAUGCUGCUUUUACCGAUGAGGAUUUGCAGAAAUUUCAGCAGCUAUUCAGAUCUGCUGCCAGGGAUUGUGUCCCACAGGACCGGAAUUCUUUCGUAGCUUUCCAAGCUAACACCGGUGUUGAGGUGUGCACAUUUCGGUUGGUUGUGAAGAAUGCAGCCUCCUUACUUGGAAAGAAGGAUCCUGUAAAGUUAGAGGCGGAAGCUUUGCUAGAUAAUCUUAUAAGAUCUUUCACAUAUAUCAGUGGGAUGGCAAGUGAAACCAACAUUGAUCUUGCAUCAGAUAGGAGAAAGAUAGCAGAUGCCAUAUCGGAUACAAUAACGUGUCUCGACAAAUUUGAGCAAGGAAUUAGGGAUUGUCUUGAAAUCUGAGGCUGUAAAUAGGCUGUUCUACUUUUCAAAGUGGAAGGUUAAUUUUUAAAAUGUCAUUUAAAAUUUUGAUCGGGUGAACCAGAAGCUUCCACCAAGUACAAGCGACAGCAGGGUGCUCCGUCGUCUGGAUUGGUUUGUAAUGACCUAGGCAAGCUGCGGAGCUUGUUGAAGAGAUUUAACGGAUCAUUCAAGAGGCCAAAAUGAGCAUCUGGGUCUCCAAUUUGUGCAAGUUUUACCUGAGUGAAGCCAAUAGAUGGUAAAAGUUGGUCCGGCCAAUCACUGUAAAAUUGGAAUACUGAAUUGGAUAGUGUGGUCGACGACUUAUUCAUGAAGUCUGCUAAGAUGACUGUGUGGGUUAAGACACAAUUGCUAGCUAAAAUCCUCAGCAGUUGCAUGGCGUUGGAUUGGGCGAGGUAGUACAAGAUACCUUCUAGAAUCCAAACUGUGCUCUUUUGUGGCAAGAAACCUGCAAUCUGAAGCUUUUCCAUCCAAUCAUUUUCUCUUAUGUCUGCUGCUACUCUAGUUAAUGAUUUUGCUUUGGACAUACUAUGUUGCGAAUCGAAUGUGGAUUCCUUAGCUGCUUGCAGAAUAGUGGUUUUCACCUCCAAGACUUCUGCAAAAUCAACCUCAAAGACAUCACUGUCCUUUAAGCAAUUCAAACGAUAUGCUCUUGUGUCCAUUCCUGCAUCAAAUUUUGCAAGAAUAUAUAUUAGCUAACUCGAAUGACUAUAAUCCUUUCUAGUACAGAUCUUCAAGGUUUCAUUGCCAAUGAUAAUGAUUAGAUGCCGCCGAUCAGACUGGAUGUGGUCCAAAUUUGUCCUGUCUAGUGAUUGUCGGGAACUUAAGUUCUCUUUUUUAAAAUGUGUUGUUACAUUUUAAUCAUGUCUGAAAGGUCCUGCUUGUAUCCACAAAUUAACUAGCAGUAUAAUAAAUGAAGGUUUAGAUUGUGUGUG